AGAUUGAACGCUGGCGGCAUGCCUUACACAUGCAAGUCGAACGGCAGCACGGGAGCAAUCCUGGUGGCGAGUGGCGAACGGGUGAGUAAUACAUCGGAACGUGCCCAAUCGUGGGGGAUAACGCAGCGAAAGCUGUGCUAAUACCGCAUAAGAUCUACGGAUGAAAGCAGGGGAUCGCAAGACCUUGCGCGAAUGGAGCGGCCGAUGGCAGAUUAGGUAGUUGGUGAGGUAAAGGCUCACCAAGCCUUCGAUCUGUAGCUGGUCUGAGAGGACGACCAGCCACACUGGGACUGAGACACGGCCCAGGCUCCUACGGGAGGCAGCAGUGGGGAAUUUUGGACAAGUGGGACGAAAGCCUGAUCCAGCCAUGCCGCGUGCAGAUGAAGGCCUUCGGUCGUAAACUGUCGUUUGUACGAACGAAAGUCUCUUUACUAAUAAA
rnacentral:rRNA from 1 species